UAAUUGAAUUAUUUAACGAUUUCCGUUUCAUAUUUGAUAUUGAUUAGCUCACCAAUCCAUAUGUAAUGGAACUCUAUUCGCUUUUCUGAUUGAUAUAUUGAUAUAUAAAAUAAUAGAAUUAGGAAAUGCUCUAUUUACUAUUCACUGAAUAAUAACUUUGUUGUUGACAAAAGAAUAAAGAUCAUUUCUAUUCCAAGGUGGGGAGUUUUAUUUUCCCCAUCGACCUA
rnacentral:sRNA from 1 species